CAAGGUGAGAGAUACGGAGGUAGAGCACUGAAUGUCCUAGGGGGUAUUGCACCUACCGAAGACUAUCAAACUCCGAAUGCCGUCAUCUUAUACUUGGGAGUCAGACUGUGGGUGAUAAGAUUCAUAGUCGAAAGGGCAACAGCCCAGAUCGUCAGCUAAGGUCCCUAAAUGUAAGUUAAGUGGUAAAGGAUGUGGGAUUGCACAGACAACCAGGAUGUUGGCUUAGAAGCAGCCACUCAUUCAAAGAGGGCGUGAUAGCUCAGUGGGGGAGUGAUCCGGCGCCGAAGAGUUCCGGGGCUAAAGCUUACUACCGAGGCUACGGCAUCAGUAAGGAUGGGUAGGGGAGCUGCCCAGACGGGUUGAGGCAUGACCGUAAGGACAUGUGGACAGUAUGGGAGUGAGAAUGUUGGCAUGAGUAGCGAGAUGUGGGUG
rnacentral:rRNA from 1 species